rnacentral:rRNA from 1 species
UACGUAGGGGGCAAGCGUUAUCCGGAUUUACUGGGUGUAAAGGGAGCGUAGACGGCUGGCCAAGUCUGAAGUGAAAGCCCGGGGCUUAACCCCGGAACGGCUUUGGAAACUGGCCGGCUGGAGUGCUGGAGAGGCAGGCGGAAUUCCUAGUGUAGCGGUGAAAUGCGUAGAUAUCACGCAGAACUCCGAUUGCGAAGGCAGCAUACCGGCGCCCAACUGACGCUGAAGCACGAAAGCGUGGGUAUCGAACAGG